rnacentral:hammerhead_ribozyme from 1 species
AUUCAUCUGACGAGUCCCGAAUAGGACGAAACGCGCGUCAUGGAU